UUUCCCUCAGGAUAGCUGGCAUUCUGCAAUGAGCAGUUUUACCUGAUAAAGCAAAUGAUUACAGGUCUUGGGACCGAAACGAUAUCAACCUAUUCUCAAACUUUCAAUGGGUCAAGUCCACAGUCAGGAACAUGUGAAAAUACUG
rnacentral:ncRNA from 1 species